rnacentral:lncRNA from 1 species
CGGGACUGAAGUCACCACCCUCAUCGAUUUUGAUUGGUCCUUCGUGUUAGCCCCGCCUCAACAAGACCAAAAGUUUUACUGAAAUUUUCAGAUUUAAAAAAAAAGAUUUGAAAGUGGAAAAAAAGUUUUGAAAUUGAAAUUUUAGUUUUGAAACAUAAAAAACUACAUUUGAAGAAGAAAAUAAUAAAAUUCAUCUUAGAAUAGCAAAAGGUUUUAGACCUUUUUUUUAUUUAUUUAUUUUUUUCAAACACCAAUAUUUUGUUGAAAAUGUUUCAUUUGAGUUUAAAAUAAUUUUGGCCCUAAUUUAGCUCCAUAAAUUCUGAGAAGCUGCUUUCGACAUGCGGGUUAAUGUUUACGUUGUUUUUGCUUUUCUGGCUGCACGCGGGCAGGUGGUGAGUUCACGGCUCGACUGAAAACAGUCGCUUCAAGCGUCAAAGCCUCCAGACGGAAGCAUAAAACAUAAAAAACGGUUUUUCUUUCAGGAAAUAAAUGAACCCACGACCGUAACGAAGGUCUUUCUGACGUGAUCUAACCCCCAACAAAGCACACAAUGUGGCUCGGCGGGUUAUUAAUAGCUGCUCCUCUGUUUCUCGUUUGACCGACGCUGCAGCGGAGCCGCGAACACACCCGAACCGCCAGGAUUUCUCCCGAAAUAGCAGAAAUAAUAAGGCGCGCGCGGUUUUUUCCCAGCGCGUGGGGACCGCAGGAGCCGCGAGCCCCCGACAUUUCCACGGCCCCCCUCUCCUCCUCCUCCUCCUCCCGCCCUCCGCUCCCUCCCCUGCCGGAGAAUGCUGGACUGACACAGUAGCGAUACGAGCGGAGCAGACAUGGAGGCCUGGUUACCGCGGGAGGCCCGUCCGGACACAGCCGAGCCCAGCGGACGCCGCGCCGGUUCGGAGCUCUGAGCGCCUCAGGAAGACUCCCGGACCCCGUUUGCUCUUUUGGAGGAUAACAGGAUGCGGCCACCUCGCUGAGACCCGCGACGCCGAGGAUAAUGUGAGCUCCGUUUGUGGACACUUUGGAAAGCUGAAGGACGGAGAAAGAGGGCUGGACCGCCACGACGGGAGAGGAGGACUUCACAAAGCCGCGAGCUUCACCCUCACCCAUCCCUCCGUCUCCCCCUCUCCCUCAUCUACAUAAAAACUUUCUGGAAUUCACGGAAUCUCUUCCGA